GCUCGUCUAGCUCAGUUGGUUAGAGCGUCGUGCUAAUAACGCGAAUGUCGCAGGUUCGAUUCCUGCGAUGAGCA
rnacentral:tRNA from 1 species